CUCGUAGGCGGUUCGUCGCGUCCGGUGUGAAAGUCCAUCGCUUAACGGUGGAUCCGCGCCGGGUACGGGCGGGCUUGAGUGCGGUAGGGGAGACUGGAAUUCCCGGUGUAACGGUGGAAUGUGUAGAUAUCGGGAAGAACACUAAUGGCGAAGGCAGGUCUCUGGGCCGUUACUGACGCUGAGGAGCGAAAGCGUGGGGAGCGAACA
rnacentral:rRNA from 1 species